UGCGACAAUCACAAGUAAAUAUAACCUAACUGUCAGCCGCAAAAACAGUUGUUUUUGAUUUUAGAUAUUCUUUUCAGUAUUUUUUAAUCAGGGUAUAUUUUCCAUCUAAAUUCAGAAUGGAGUUUUUCUACAAGUAUACAGCUUUAUAUGCGUGGCGAAAGGCGAAAUAAAAUAAGAAAUAAGGAGAAGAAGGUGGAUUCACUAGGCCACUGCGGCAGAUAGCUUGGUCGAGAGAACCAGGAAAACGGGAUUCUUGUGCACCAUCUCUGGAUAGACUCAAGAAGCUGUAAGUCAGAUUUGAGAGCUACCCACCAAACUGGCCCAGCGUACUCUAGAAUAGGCCUCACGUAGGUUGUGUACAGCAUAUGUCUGUAAGUUUUUUUUUUGAGUGUUGUUCUGAAAAUUCUUUAAAUAAUACCUACAUAUGUAAGUAACUGGAAGUAUGCUAUGAUGGUAUAUUGAAUAUUGGUUCAUA